GCAGGGAGUGCGCAUGCGGCCGAGUGCGGGACUGGGGCUCCUGGCUGUGGGUGUGGUACUGAGGCUUCAGCGGGUGCCGCCCGCCUAGAGGGAGUGGAGCGGUGAGCACGUCAGGGGUGGGGGGCGCAGGUCAAGCUUUCACCAGUUUUUAAUUCUUUGAUGGGGUAAAUUUGAGCAAUUUUCUCGACUUGUCGACAUUCGUUAUUAACUGAGCAGGAAUCAGGAGAGGAACCCGGUCCUCUCCACACAGCCCAGCAGGUACGCCGCCCAUGUGCCUGUGGAGAAGAGAGGUUCCUGUGGGGCAGACAGAGAGCCUACGACUAGAUUUGCAUCUUUACGUCCUGCGCGGAGGCUGCUACACACAUGCAGAAGUCAUGCUGGUGGCCUGGACAUUGAAGGGAGAGAAGUGGAUUUGGGAGACAUUUAGGAGGAACAGUAAGAGGACCUUGUGCAUGAAUAAUUUGUUUCCACACUACAGAAAGAAUCCCAGUCUUCUUAGAGAACCCAGUGACUUUUUGCACCUUAAAUCUGUGAAAUCCUCAUGUUUUCUUCUGCCGUAUCCAUAGUUCAAACAAAGAUGAGGCAAAGCUAGAUGCAUUCCUGAAGGAACCCAAGAAAUUCCUCUCUUUAUUUCUCUGGAAUGAAAUGAAUUCUCUAGACGACCAGUUCUAACCUUCAAAAACCAAACCUGUUUGUGAGAUCUCCUUCAAAUACUACUGUAGACCCCAGUGUUUAUUCAUUAAAUUUUAAAAUAUUUGUUUUAUUUGGAA
rnacentral:lncRNA from 1 species